rnacentral:rRNA from 1 species
UACAGAGGGUGCGAGCGUUAUUCGGAAUUACUGGGCGUAAAGGGCGCGUAGGCGGCCUUAUAAGUCGCACGUGAAAUCCCCGGGCUCAACCCGGGAACUGCGUCCGAUACUGGGAGGCUUGAAUCCGGGAGAGGGAUGUGGAAUUCCAGGUGUAGCGGUGAAAUGCGUAGAUAUCUGGAGGAACACCGGUGGCGAAGGCGGCAGCCUGGACCGGUACUGACGCUGAGGCGCGAAAGCCAGGGGAGCAAACGGG